AUUGAACGCUGGCGGCAUGCCUUACACAUGCAAGUCGAACGGUAGAGGGGCAACCCUCGAGAGUGGCGAACGGGUGAGUAAUGCAUCGGAACGUGCCCAGUCGUGGGGGAUAACGUAGCGAAAGCUACGCUAAUACCGCAUACGACCUGAGGGUGAAAGCGGGGGACUCGCAAGGGCCUCGCGCGAUGGGACCGGCCGAUGGCAGAUUAGGUAGUUGGUGGGGUAAAGGCCUACCAAGCCGACGAUCUGUAGCUGGUCUGAGAGGACGACCAGCCACACUGGGACUGAGACACGGCCCAGACUCCUACGGGAGGCAGCAGUGGGGAAUUUUGGACAAUGGGCGCAAGCCUGAUCCAGCCAUGCCGCGUGCGGGAAGAAGGCCUUCGGGUUGUAAACCGCUUUUGUCAGGGAAGAAAUCUUCUGGGUUAAUACCUCGGGAGGAUGACGGUACCUGGAGAAUAAGCACCGGCUAACUACGUGCCAGCAGCCGCGGUAACAC
rnacentral:rRNA from 1 species